AGAAAGUAAUGCCUAAAGUGGAUGCCUUGGCUUCAAAAACCGAUGAAGGACGUAGCAGCCUGCGAUAAGCCUCGGGGAGGUGGCAAGCAACCUGAGAUCCGAGGAUGUCCGAAUGGGAAAACCUAAAGCGUUGGAGACGCUUUGCUCUGACCUAAAAGUCAGAGAGGGUACCCGGGGAAGUGAAACAUCUCAGUACCCGGAGGAAAAGAAAUCGAAAGAGAUUCCCUGAUUAGUGGCGAGCGAAAGGGGAACAGCCUAAACUUGGUAAAACCUAAGCUUUAGAGAGAAUAUACUUCGGUAUAGAUUCUUUGAAGGGAAAGGCGGUAGGGUUAAAAUGUUUUAUCAAGAGUUGUAAGAUAUCAACGUUCUGCUGCUUACAGAGUAGAGUAGAACUUUAAUCUUGAAGUUGAAAGAUUUGGAAUAGCCUGCCAAAGAAGGUGAAAGCCCUGUAGAUGUAAAAGAUUAAAGAUUUAUAGUUGAUAUUCUUGAGUAAUACUGGACUCGUGAAAUCCAGUAUGAAGUUAGGCGGACUGUCGUCUAAGGCUAAAUAUUUUUGAAGACCGAUAGUGAACUAGUACCGUGAGGGAAAGGUGAAAAGUAGCCCGGAAGGGCGGUGAAAAGUACCUGAAACUUUAGGCUAUCAUAGACUCGGAGCUUCGAUGUAAAAGUCGGAGUGACGGGGUUCCUAUUGAAGAAUGAACCAACGACUUCGAGCAUAUAGUUUGACUAAGUUCUACGGAAUGGAGUCAAAGCGAAAGCGAGUGUUAAAAGCGCGUUCUCUGUCUAAGACAGAGGGGAUUAUAUGCUUGAGACCCGAAACUGGGUGAGCUACUCAUGGCUAGGGUGAACUCCGACGAAGGUCGGAGGGAGGCCCGAACCAGUUAGUGGUGCAAAACUAUUGGAUAAGCUGUGAGUAGGAGUGAAAAGCUAAUCGAACCCAGAGAUAGCUGGUUCUCCCCGAAAUAGCUUUAGAGCUAGCCUGCUUGAUUGGAUGUUUAGCGGUAGAGCACUAAAUAAAUUAAGAUGGGGCGACCCACUUGAUUUAAUUAAACUCCGAAUGGCUAAUCAUCUUUACAAGUGGAGUCAGACCGUGGGGGCUAAGCUUCAUUGGUCAAAAGGGAAACAGCCCUGAUCUCCAUCUAAGGUCCCUAAAUCCAAGUUAAGUGUGAAAAGUGGUGAGACGACUGAAACAACCAGGAGGUUGGCUUAGAAGCAGCCAUCCUUUAAAGAAAGCGUAACAGCUCACUGGUCAAUGUUGUCUUGCGCUGAAAAUUUAUCGGGGCUAAACUUGGUACCGAAGAUGAGAAUGCUGUUGCUUUGCAACAGCGUGGUAGGGGAGCGUUCCGACAGCGGUGAAGUCAAAUCGUAAGAUUUGGUGGAGCGGUCGGGAGUGAGAAUGUUGGUAUAAGUAGUAAAAAGGCCGAUGAGAAUUCGGCCCACCGAAAGUCCAAGAUUUCCUGGGCACUGAUUAUCAACCCAGGGUUAGGCGGUCCUAAGAGGAAGCCGAAAGGCGUACUUAAUGGACAAGCAGUUAAUAUUCUGCUUCUAAUAUUAGUUUCCGAAGGAGUAACGUUUCGUUAAACUUGGAGCAUGCAUUGGUUUCGUGUUUAAAGAGAAAAUGGGUCUCUAGGAAAAUCCGGAGAUAAAAAGUUUUCUCUGAAUAAAAUUUUCGCAAGAAGAGAUUCCAGGGGCGAUGGAACCAAGAAAAACUUCUAGGGCUAAACUAAUAUUAACCGUAUCGCAAACCGACACUGGUGGACAGGGUGAGAAACCUAAGGUGUACGAGUGAUCCCUUGUUAAGGAACUCGGCAAAAAAGUGUUCGUAACUUCGGAAUAAGGACUGGUCCGAUGAAUAAUCGGACUCGCAGCGAAAGUUGCCAAACGACUGUUUAACAAAAACACAGGUCCCUGCUUAAACUGNNNNNNNNNNNNNAAUUGAAGCGCUAGUGAACGCCGGCGGUAACUAUAACCGUAGAUCUUUGUUACCUCUACACUUUUUAGUGUAGUUUAAAAGAUAGGGCGGUUAAAAAAUUCGACCAUAUGCUGGAACCCUUAAACGCUUAGACUACCGGGUAGGUGAAAAUGUCUAAGUUAUAGGUAAUCAGCAGGAAAGGCUCUGAAUAAAUAAAAACAAUAAUUAUGGAGCAAAAAAAGAUUUAUUAUCAUCUGAAGCAAUUAAAAAGGGAAUAUCUAAAUUGGUAUAUAGUUGGUUUUGUUGACGGAGAAGGAUCGUUUAGCGUCUCAAUUACCAAACAUCCAGAUGCGAGAUUUGGCUGGAUGAUCGAUCCAGUUUUUCAGAUCUAUCAACAUGAAAAUCAUCGAGAAGUUUUAGAACUAAUUAGAGAAGUUCUAAAAACAGGAACAAUCAGAUUCAAAUCAAAAGAAAAAUCUAAUACACUUGAUUUCUCUGUCGAAAAUUUCCGUUCUCUCAAAGAAAAAAUCAUCCCCUUUUUUAAGAGAUACCAAUUGAUUGUUAAAAAUGAUGAUUUCAAAAAAUUUUGCCAGAUUAUUGAAUUAAUGGACAAGAAAGCGCAUUAUACUAUUGAAGGAUUCAAAAAGAUUAUUAGAAUCGCUCAUUUAAUGAAUCAGCAAGGCAAGCAGAGAAUCUAUUCAGAAGAAUAUAUUUUUGAGAGAAUGGAGAAUAAGUUAAAAAAUAAAUUAUUCAGAGAAUCCUCAGAGACUAAUACGUCGAAUCCCGUAAUUUACGGGAAUGAUAUAGUCCAGACACGUUAGUGAUAGCGUGAAAUAAAAGCCUAAGGUAACGUAAUCCCUUGCCGGGUAAGUUCCGGCCUGCAUGAAUGGCAUAACGAUUUGGCAACUGUCUCAACAAGGGGCUCGACGAAAUUGCAGUGGGCGUGAAGAUGCGCUUAAUCCACGGUUAGACGAAAAGACCCCGUGAAGCUUUACUGUAGCUUGAUAUUGGAUUAGAAGAAGAACUAGUUCAGCGUAGGUGGGAGCUCCGACGGAAACGUCGGGGCGCCAAUGAGACACCACCCGGUUGUUUUUCUAAUUCUUACUCUCUCUCAUUAGCAGUGGGAUGGGGACAGUGUCUGGUGGGCAGUUUUUCUGGGGCGGAAUUCUUCCAAAGUGUAACGAAGAAGUUCAUUAAGGUUGGCUUAGACCGAAUGGAAACCGGUCCGGACGUGCAAAGGCAUAAGCCAGCUUGACGGCAAGACAAAUAAGUCGCGCCGAUGCGAAAGCAGGACUUAGUGAACCGAUGCGUCUUUACAGGAGGCGCAAAGAUCAACAGAUAAAAGCUACUCCGGGGAUAAGCCUAAAAAGGCGUUGUCCCUUUUGCUAAGUAAUUAGCAAGAUAGUAGACGGCUAAUAACGGCGAAGCCUAAGCUGAUAAAUGAUCAGGGAAGGUAACGUCGUGGGAAGUUAUUCGGGAUUAAUUCUAAAUUUAUAUGAUAACCAAAAAACAAUACGAAAUUGUUAUUGGUACGAUAAUGGGCGAUGUUUAUAUCCAGCCAACUGGUAAGAAAAACGCCAGAUUAAGAUUCGAACACUCCGAAAAACAAAAAAGUUAUAUUGAAUGGAAAUGGCAAGAAUUGAAAAAUUUAAUGCAAGACAAACCUAAAAAAAUUAUUCGAUAUAAUCCAAUUUGGAAAAAAACCUACACUUAUUAUCGAUGUCAAACUCAUUCUUCUCCUAUUUUUGGGAAGUUAUACAGACUGUUUUAUAUUGAUAGACAAAAAGUUAUUCCAGAAAAUUUUGGAAAAUUAUUUAAAUCAGACCUUUCUUUAGCGGUUUGGUAUAUGGAUGACGGAUAUUAUUAUCACAGAGAUAAAACAGCUUAUAUCUAUUUGUCAAAAGUUUCCAAAAAGGAGACAGAGAAUUUACUCCAAGUAUUAAACAAAAAUUUUGGUUUAAAUCCUAGAUUAGAAACAAAACGACUUGAAAAUAUUAAUCUGAAAUUUUCAGUUGAAGAAACAAAAAAAUUGAUUAAAUUAAUAAAGGCAGAAGUUAUACCUUCAAUGAAAUAUAAAUUGCCUUUACCCGAAUGACCCCGUAUCGACUGAGUCUAAAAUAGACGAGGUGGUUANNNNNNNNNNNNACAUAGUCAGCACUUAUCGAAAGAUAAGAGAAAUGUGAACAGGCUAGUCAGGCCCGAGAGUUCCCAUCGACGGCCUGGUUCGGCACCUCGAUGUCGGCUCAUCGCAUCCUGGGGGUGAAGAAGCUCCCAAGGGUUGGGCUGUUCGCCCAUUAAAGCGAUACGCGAGCUGGGUUCAGAACGUAAAUUACAUUGCGUUCUAUCACAGAAAUGUGAUAUAAUAAAUCUGACUCAUAACGGUGGAACCUUUAUAAUCCCGAACAUUAUAUAAGGUAAUACCGUGGGAAGAUUAAAUUAUGCCAAAAGCAAUUUCUUCUAUAACUAAAUCUUAUAUUGCUGGUUUUUUAGAUGGCGAUGGUUGUAUUAUGUUUCAGUUAAUUCGUAGAAAAGAUUAUGUUUAUGGUUAUCAAAUACGAGCUAGUGUUGUCUUCUAUCAAAAAUCAACUAAUCGUCAUCAAUUAGAAUGGUUAAAACAAAUUUUCGAAGUUGGCUAUUUAAGAGAUCGUAAAGAUGGGAUGACUGAAUAUACGAUUGUUGGCUUAAAACCGGUAAUAAAGAUUUUAAAAUUGCUUCAACNNNNNNNNNNNNNNNNNNNNNAAAAUUCAACUUAGACAAAUUUAUUCAGGCGAGUAGAUUAGUAGAUCAUUCUGGUGUUAUUAAUUAUUCUAAAAAACGUACUAACACCUCGAAAAAUUUAAAACAAUUUUUAAGGCAGCAUAAUUUAUAUCCCCGUAACGACUGAAAUCCGAAAAAUCGGGUAGAGAUAGAAAAAAUUAUUUUCUAUCAAACGUCAGCUCCUCCUUAAUAGUUAUUAAGAGGAUGAAGGUAUAGUCUAUGCCAUUAGUAAUAAUGGAUUAACAUGCGUAAGACAGUUCGGUCUCCUAUCUACCGUGGACGUUGAAACUUGAGGGGGCUCCUCCUUAGUACGCAAGGACCAGGAGGAAUGAACCUCUGGUAUACCAGUUGUUCUACCAAGAGCAUUGCUGGGUAGCCACGUUCAGUUUGGAUAAAUGCUGAAAGCAUAUAAGCGUGAAGCUGUCCCCAAGAUUAGGUUUCAUAAGCUCCUAGAAGAUUACUAGGUAUAUAGGCUUCAGGUGUAAGUCCAGCAAUGGAUUGAGCCGAGAAGUCCUAAUAA
rnacentral:rRNA from 1 species